AGAUUGAACGCUGGCGGCAUGCUUUACACAUGCAAGUCGAACGGUAACAGGCCGCAAGGUGCUGACGAGUGGCGAACGGGUGAGUAAUGCAUCGGAACGUGCCCAGUCGUGGGGGAUAACGCAGCGAAAGCUGUGCUAAUACCGCAUACGAUCUAUGGAUGAAAGCGGGGACCGAAAGGCCUCGCGCGAUUGGAGCGGCCGAUGUCAGAUUAGCUAGUUGGUGGGGUAAAGCCCACCAAGGCGACGAUCUGUAGCUGGUCUGAGAGGACGACCAGCCGCACUGGAACUGAGACACGGUCCAGACCUCCGUACGGGAGGCAGCAGGUGGGGUAAUUUUGGACGAAGUGGGACGCAAGCCGUGACUCCAGCCAAUCGCCGCGU
rnacentral:rRNA from 1 species